UAUUGCACAAUGGGGGGAACCCUGAUGCAGCGACGCCGCGUGGGUGAAGGAGUAUUUCGGUAUGUAAAGCCCUAUCAGCAGGGAAGAACAAUGACGGUACCUGGCUAAGAAGCCCCGGCUAAAUACGCGCCAGCAGCCGCGGUAAUACGUAUGGUGCAAGCGUUAUCCGGAUUUAAUGGGUGUAAAGGGAGCGCAGGCGGCGCGGUCAGCCUGGUGUGAAAGCCCGCGGCCCAACCGCGGGACUGCAUUGGGAACUGGCGCGCUGGAGUGCCGGAGGGGUAGGCGGAAUUCCUAGUGUAGCGGUGAAAUGCGUAGAUAUUAGGAGGAACACCAGUGGCGAAGGCGGCCUACUGGACGGUGACUGACGCUGAGGCUCGAAAGCGUGGGGAGCAAACAG
rnacentral:rRNA from 1 species